GUGAGUCCGUGGCUCCUUGGAGGCUGGGUUGGUGAUCUUUCUGACUGUGAGUGCUCACCGUCCUGGGUGGGUGAGUCCGUGGCUACUUGGAGGCUGGGUUGGUGAUCUUUCAUAGCCUUUCUCAGAACAAGCUCAGACAUGAGAGUGGGGCACAGCUCUGUUGGUCCAACCAAGUUGAGAAAAGGCAAAGAAAAGUAAAUGGACAACACUCCACCCUUGCUGUUGCCCAAAUCAUAAUUUUCAUGCAUCAAGAUGGCUGUGGGGUCCUGAAGUCACUUGGAAAUAUGAAAAGGGAGGGGACAGAUGCAAAGAGAAUGCAGGCACAUGAGUGGUGAGAUUGUGUCCUCCCCGAGCCAGUGUCCCUCUGGAUUCAAGCCCCAGCACUGCCAUCCCUGUGGUUGUUGAAGGACACCCACUGCCUUCUUCCUGUCCCUGCAAUUAAUGAAAACAAAUGCCACCUGGAGCCCGAUGCUGUCUUCUUUUGGACUCGGCUGCCCUGGAAAAUCAGCUCACCCCCUUCCCUGCCUUCUCCUUUCUGACUUCAAACAAAUGGACAAAAUCACACCCUGCUGCUUUCUGAUGAACCAAAUUCCCCGGCACUAAUGGAGUGAUUUCUGUUCAGUUCCCAUCCAUCAUAUUCCUGCCAGGUUCACUGGCUGCUGAUGGAAACAUGCAGUGGAUGUUACUGUCAACACACAGCUCCAAGAAGCUGAGAAUCAGGGGUCGGCUCUUUCUAGGAUGUGACCUGGAGCAGCAGAAAGGAGUGGCACUCCCUACUCCCACCCAGCCUGGUGAUUCAAGGGUCUCGGCUAAAGCUGUUCAGCCCCAGGGCUGAGUGUGUUUGGGGCUGUGACACCCUCUCUCUGGGCCAUUUGCAGUCAGAAUAUCUUCCCAUCUGGGGCUGCUUUGUCCUGGCAGGCCCAAUAAUGCACCCAUGCCUGAGUGAGAGCAGCGGCUGCUGCACGGCAGCCUGACCUGGUCUCACCUUGAGGCAGGUGUACUCUAAGCUCCCAGGACCUUGACAGACACACACUAUUCUCCCUUAGUGAGUUCUAGGAUCCCCAGGCAGUCUCACUCCCCUUCUGAAAACAAGGGCUCCCAGGUAACCAAACAAUCACCCCAAAACAGGCAUGCAUUUCCAUCUGUAUCUUAAUUCCACACAAACAGUAGAAUUUCUACAGGACAAAGAGGCUAUAGAGAUUGGAAACAAAGGGACAGCCUCUGCUGCCAGCUCAUGCUCCCCCACCUCACCACUCCCCUUUCACAGCAAAAGCAAACUAAGUGUCAGACAGUGCCCUACACCCUGCCCCCAGCCUUUGUGCUGUAACUAGGCAUCAUCCUGGAUAAGUCCAGGCCUCCAUGAAAGAACUCUCCUGAGGACGAAUGGUUUUCUUUCCCUUAGGUGGACAUCUGAGUAGAGGCCCUGACAGGAGUCAGGGCGUGGCACCUAAGGCCAGGCCAGGCAGGUGCUUUGACUCUACGGGGGCACCAGCCCAGUGCGUUCUUGAUGGACACUGUAUCCUACGGCCGGCUCGUCUCUCUGCUUUAUGUGUUUUCAGACUUGUCAGCCUGGUAGGUUUCCAAUUGUUUUUAGCAGUCUUCUGUAUGAAAGAAAAGGAGCUGCACCCAACAGUGUCAUAAAAACCCGCGUAUCAGCUGGCAAAACGCAAUUCCUUCUAAAACCCGAGAAUGAUUUUCUAGAUGGCUCAUGGCAGAACCUUAACAGAAAGAAGCACAUAGAUACAGACAGCAAGAGGGAGAUUCAUGGAGUGAAAUAGCUUUCGUGAACGUGGGCACAGGAGAAUGAAGGUUGGUGGAAGCUGCCCUUCUGGUGGCCUUGGCAGAGAAACCAAUACUAAAACUCGGGGAAAGGAAACACCUCCCAUGAAAACCUUUAAAAAGAACACUUUGUUUUCGAUGGCAUCUGUGUUCUGACAAACGGCUGAGCACUGAGCAGGCCAGAUCAGUUCGUUUUGCAAAUUUUAUUUUAAGUAAUUGAGUCAUCUAAGGAUGAUUUACCAAGUGCCUCUCGCAUGGGAGUUUCUAUACAAAGCCCUGGGCAACCCAGGGUGGAAGUUGCCAGCCCUGCCUUCAAGGAGCGUGGCUGGGCUGCAGGCAUGCAUGGCCUGAGGGGAGUCUAGCAUUCUUCUGUAGUCAAUUCUUACAUCAAUUUGUAAGAAUGUUGAAUACAGGUGUAGCUUGAAGCAGGGCUCAGUCACCCUGGACAGUUUCCAGUUCUCCCCUACACCCAAAUGGCUCAAGCUGGUGCCCAGAGAUAAGAACCCGGAGGCAUCUCUUCUGCCCAGCACUUUCCUGUUUGCUUCCCUUAAGCGGACGAUUCAAGCAUUUGCCCAUGAUCUUAAAGUGACUCACACCCUGUUCCUUAUAUAUACUGCCAGUUGCCACGUGCUCUCUCUCUGCCUGACUAUGUCUCUGCCUGGGAGGACAGAGAACUGCCCUCCCCAACUCGCUGCUCCCUUCUUGCCCAGGAUUUGAAUGGGCAUUGUUGCUUCUCAAGCUCUGGGCAAAGGAGAAAAAUCCCUGGUCACCUGUGCAGAACAGACGUGAGUGAGACUCUUACAAGGCCACCUGCCCAGCCCUGGUGGCUCCUAGUCCAGGACAUGGAAAAGGGGCUGCUGCCCAGAAAGCCAGGAGGGCGAGAAGACCUUGAGAAUGUCCAGAACACUGAGAACUGGAUUAGGACCUAGAGGCACUGGGCCCCUGGAGCCUCAGAAGGAUCAGAUCCAGAAAUGGAAUUGUGCUGUCUGCAUCCUCUCCCGGCCAGAUCAGUGCAGAAGUUUACUCUGUGAAUGACUCUCCUCUAUCUGCUGUCAAAAACUACCACCUACUUGAUGGCUUUAAACGGCAGAAAUUUAUUCUCCCACAGUUCUGGAGGUCUUGCCACGUGCCCACAGCAGAAGUCACACCUUUGAGGUGGAAUGAGUCACACAGUCUUGAGGAGCAGGAGCAGCCAGGUCA
rnacentral:lncRNA from 10 species